UGAACAUUGGGCUAUAACCUAUGGACCUAUUUCUAAAAGGACUUUUGGCAACUACAAGCUCAUCUCUAUUAUGUCUCUGAACCUCAAGAAUGAAUUCAAAUGUGUCUGUGUAUUGAUCUCUAA